rnacentral:lncRNA from 1 species
AAGAAAAUAAAAUUGCAAUAAAAUUCAAAAGAAAGCCCUGAGAAGCGGGUUUUUAUAUUCUUUUUUUCUAUUUAUAUUUAACAGGGGGGUUGGAUGGCUGAUCUUCCAUAGAUUAUUAUUCCUCAAAUUCAUGCAUGUGGUCUAAGAGGUAGUUGGCAGCCAACUCUUCAUUCUUGUUGCAGGCAAAGAACACCUCCAAUACAAUUGCUCGAUCAAAUCCCAUUGCUUCAAGCUGGCAAGGAUAAACAAAUCAUCAAUAAGAACGAAAAUUGUCCGCUCAAAGAACAACAGGAAUAAAUCAUAGAAAGUUAGAACUCUUACAACCACAGAAACCACGAGUCCCUUACGCAAAGAGUGGAUUAAAAAUAGCCACAAUAAGCAAACUAAAACUUUCAAGGUCCAAUACACACAACUCCUUAAGGUAAUCAGUUGUUGGCAAGAAUUAAAACACAUAUGUAAUGCAAUUGUGCAAAGCAUAACACUGAUACCAUAACCAUAAAGCUAAAUCAGUUCAUGAAAAUCACUGUUUUAAAUCAGUAAUGAUUGGACCAAAACUGAAGACUUUUAAACCCUCGAGACUAAUGAUUGCACAUUCAUCAAUUUUUCUAGAUCUCUCCCUUCCUUCUCAUUUUUCAGAUACUUCCAAGUGUAUUUGGUUAAAUGAAAAUCACAAAUAAACUUUUUCACUCAAUGAAUUUGUAAUAAAUUUUGUUCAAUUAGGUGAUUAAAGGCAGUGUUUCCUGUUUUCAUCUUAAAAGUAUUCUUCAAAUCAAGUUCAAAUUUUUUAUUUCACAUGAUUUUAGCUACAUUUCAUGUGCAUUGCACGUAUUAAAUAUAGUGUUUAUAUAAAAAAGGGAGAACUUACACGUUCUAUAGCUUCACGCUCCUCAGGAGUAACACUUAUUGACUGCGGCACUGCUGCAUCGCCCAAUAUGUUCCUGAAACAAAGAGACAAAUGAGCAAGAUAAACAUGCAUAAUCAUGUAUCAUACAUGUAACCAACAACAAACCCCAAAGACUAAAAGAGUACAUAAAAGGUAAGAUAAUAAACUCCUUACCCUUCUCCACCUUCUACAGGUUCAUUAAUCAGGCGAAGGAAGUCAGCCUGAUGCUGUUGAAUUAGCCUCAUAAGAUUAGGAUUUUGUUUCCCCAACUCUUGAAGCAUAGGCUGUAACAAAAAUUGAAGAAUUAUCGCCAAAAGAACAGGGUGACCAAACAACAUUUGGGUUGGGAAGAAGUACCUGCAAUAUUUGUGGAUUAGCCUGCACCAUAGCUCGCAAGGCUUGGAACUGAGACCAACACCACCAAAUCGAGAGUUAAAAAAACCACAAUGUUUAAAUGUGGGUUCAUUCAUACAUUAAUGCACACACAUGCAAAUGCAAACAUAAAUAGAGAGAGGGAGAUAAAUGACCUGUUGGCUGUCACGCAGAAAAUCAAGAUUGCCUGCACCAGCACCACCAGCACCCACAUUUGGAAGACCCUGUUUCCAUGAAGGCAUGUGUAUCACUGAAAAAUUCUUCCACCAUAAUUAAUCACAGGUGCUGCAUGAUAAGUACCUGGGGAAAAAGGUUUAAAGGAUUGGCAUUAGGUCCGCUUGGAGGAGUGGAUGCUGGUUGUGCUGAUUGUGGAGAUUGUGCUGGAAGGUUUGCAGCUUCCCCACUCACAGGAAUAUGGGCUACAGGUGGAACUUCGGGUUGCUCAGGGAUACCCUUCAAGAAAUACCAAAUUGGCAUCAAAAGGAAAAGACAACAAUAAUCAAAGAGCAGGGAUAACCACUGCUUUUUGGUUCUGAAAAUCACUACUGUUAUCAACUCUUUUUUCUACAAUACUACUCAACAUUGUUACCAUUGUUGAAAAUUUGAUAGAGAACCAUGAUGUAGAAGAUAUAUAACUAAGAGAGUAGAGCAAGUCCUGAAUUUUUCAAUAUAAUAUCUCCACUUACAGAAUAAAGAUAGUCAAUAGCUCUCGCUGGGUUGUUGAAAGCAGCACGAAGAGCACGUACAACAGUAUCCCUGUCCCAAGUACCUCCACCCAUAUCCAGAAUUUGCUGAAUUGUUCCCUCCAAGUUAGUUCCAGCUACCAGAUCAGAUGCUGCUUGGCCGUAGGGAUUAGAUUCUACCCUGCUUUAACAAUUCCACAGAAUUGUAUUAGGAAAGAAAAGAAUAUAUAAAGCCAGUGAUGAACUUAAUGAGGAAGGGGCGGGGGACAUUGGCUACAGAUCUAAAACUGAAAGCAUCAACGGAAGGAACAAAAUUACUCACUCCAUGGUAGCUGAAGAGACAGGAGCAGGUGUGGUAACCGAAGCAGGCCUGAGAAAUCAAGAAACAUUACAAACAGAACAUGUAUAAUGAAAUAUGAAUAUCAUAUUUUUGGAAAAACUAAAACUUAUACAAAACAAGACUCACGAUGCUGAGGUUGGUAUUGGAGCCUGAGGUGCCGUUAAUGUCACAGUUGGAGCAGCAGAAGGUGCACUUGGCUGUGGUGCCUGCACAAAAAACAACACUCAGUAACUACAGUCACAGCCCAACAUAAAAAGAUUAUAAAAAAAAGCUUUAGUUCGUCCACAGACGUGCAUGCAAAUAGAUCUGGGUUACUGCUUGUUUAGUUCCUUAAGUCUGUGUAGAAGGUUUUCUCUUUUUAUAAUCCCAGGCUCAUAAUUUUUCUUCUAAAGUCAAACAAGGAAAUCAAAGUAUAUACACACACUAACUCUACGUUUAACAGUACCUCAGGUCUAACGGAACUAAUAUGUAACAGAAGUAAUCCAACGUGUAUUGAACGAAAAACUAAUUAUAAAGAUAAAUUGUGAAGAAUGGAAUUUAACAUAAGACUAUAGAUGAAUCCCAAGAAUUUGAACCAAAGCAUGUGGUAAACUCCACGCAACUUCCACAGAGAAAACAAAUCACAGAAAACAAUGAAAAAGAAUAUGUGUCUUACCUUAGUUAUAGUCGCAGUUGAUGCACCUGAACCUUCACCAAGCGAGCUCUUACUCUAGCAUUGUUAGGUAUAUAAAGUAAGUCAAAACAACUUGUCAUCAUUCUAAACUGACAAAGAAGAGAAGAUUGAGCAACAUUAUCUGGUGGGAGAAGGAAUUUCAACACCACAAAUAGUUGGCAUAAAUCAGAUGCGAACGAAAUAGGGGUAUCAAAACGACAUCACCAACUUCAAGUAAAACAAAUUUUACAUUAGGGAAUGACAGGAGUUGGGCAUAAACUAGACGUGAAUAAACAGGAAAUUCACAAUACAAGAAUAAGACAUUAGCGCCAAAUAGAAAUUUCAAAAGAAAUGAAUGCCAUACAAUAAUUUCCAUUUCCAUGAUGGAUGUUUAGCAAGACAUUAGCUAUAAUACAAGCAUAAUUACUGUCUCUAAUUUAUUAUUUAAUGGAAAAUGUAGCACUCUAAACUAUCGAAUACAAAAAUUAUAAUACCUUAGUCAACAUUAUCACAACAAAGCUGUUUUCAGCAACUUUGUUUUCGUCCAAUGUUGUGCUAUCUUUAAGUACUUUUCCUUGAUGAAUUAGCAUCUGUUGUGAAGCAGGAUAUACAUCUGAACCUUGACUAGUUUCUAUCUGUUUCUUCACAUCAGAAACCUGGAAAGAAUAGUGGUUUUUUGUGAAUAAUGUAAUUUGGAUAAAGUAGCCAGUAAUUAUUGCAAGUAAAUUUAUAAGCACACCCAACCACAUUUCCUGCAUAAAGAAAACUGAAUGUACUCAAUAAUGAAGCAAAGUCUGACAUACCAUAGAGCUUGAAAAUUGCGAUAAACAAAGAAACGAAAGAAAAAAAAUGAACGAGUAAUUUAACAAGGAAAGCGUAAAUUCCUAAAUUCCAAUUCCACCAUAAACCAAAAAUACUCACAAGUGUUAGAAGCAAAAACCUAAGUCCAAUUAACGUACACAAGCCAAAAACAGAAAAACCUGUUAAAGCUUGCACAUUAAGUCUUUACCAGAUUGCGAAACAAAUAGAAAAUCGACACCAAAACUCUAGAAAACACUUCAAUUACGAUCAUAAUGCGCGAUUGAAUUUUUUUUUUCAAAAACACACGUAACUAAAAAAAUGAAAGAAUUCAAAACGACUGAGGCUAACCGUGUCCUCAGGCUUCACUGCGACGUCGAAGUGAGUGCCCUUGAGAGUCUUGACAAAAAUCUUCAUCUUCUGCUAGUCGGAGAAUCGCCGUCUCUACAGUCUCGAAGGCUGUGAUCUGCUGAAAAGGUUUAAAGAAAGAAGCCGAAUGCGCAAGUAAAGUGAGGCAAGACUAAAUAAAGAAAAGAAAAACAAAGCCCAAAUUUGCUGGCUUAAAUACGAGGGCUAGCGGCUCACAUGUAUACGCGCUAAGGAGAAGGCGAGAUACACAGAAUGAAAACUGCGUUGGGUUUAAGAUGAGCGGUGCAGAUGGCAGCUUGUAGUUUGCGUUUGUUAAGGGAGCGCGUGGCUUGUGUAGGUGACUGGUGAAUAUUGCGAGAUUUUUGCGUCUGAUAAGAGCAUCUCCAAGGGAAGAGCAUCUUUGUGAUUGACUCCUGCACCGCCGAUGUGGACCCUUCCAAAAGCUCGAGAAUACCACUGUCAGCAAACCACGUAAGUAUCCCAAGUCAAUAAAAUGUCGACAGCUGGCAACUAAUUUUACUUCCAAUUUUAAAUAUUAAAAAAAUGUUCUGAAUCCAUUGUCUCUUCUCUCUCUUUCGCAUCCCUCUCUCUCAUCCAUUAAUCUAUCUCUUCCAAUCACUCCCCCACCAUCAUCAGCACCCACACGCGCCUGCAUUCGCUCCUCUUUUUCAAUUCAAUCACUCAGCCCAAAUAAUCAAUUUGUUUUUCAAUUUAAAAUUUUACAAAGUAAUUUCACCCAUGUUCUUUCUCUUCUCUCUCUCUCUCCCCCAUUCCUCAGUCCGUAGAAAAAAAAACUUUUUUCUUCUUCUAUUUCUGGUGUUUCACUUCCUCUUCAGUCAAGCAUUGUUUGGGACAUAAUGGUUUGGGACACUUACGUGGUUUGCCUUCAGUGGCCUGUGACAGGGAAGUUAUGCUUGGUUCCUGACAUAGGACGUGGCCUCCUUACAAAAAGACACAUGUUUUCUUUUUUCUUUUUCUUUUUUGUUUUGUUUUUUUGUUUCUUUCAACUCUCUAACCCAAGUCUUGUUGGCUGGUUUUAACUCAAGCCUCCUCAACAGCAAACUCCAACUUUUUUAAACUCUCCAGACCCUUGCUUAUCGCCACUGUCAAUUAGAACCACUGGAUCAUAUUUAGAAAUUAAAAUCAUUUAAGAAAAUAGAAAUCACAAAAACAGAAAAGAAAAGAAAAACAAGAUCACAACUUGGUUUAGAUCUUUCUUCAAACAUGUUGGCUGCAACUUAUAACCAUUUAUUUCACCAAAAUAAAAGCCUAGUUAGCUUACAAGGAGAAAAUAUAAGAUUAUAUUACAAAUAAAAUAGAUGUUUUUAUAUAUUUAUCAACAUAAGUUCAUUACAAGUAGGCUACUUUGAUAAACCAUAUAAACAUAAGAAAUCCACUCAUCGAAAAUGGUUAUGAAAAUCAACCCCCAAUAUGAAGAAUCUGCCAUGUAUAGGAAUUAUGAAGACUAAAAUUCCACAAAUAAAAGAGAAAUUAAGAAAGGGAAAUAUUGUUGUUGGACUAACCAUCCCGAAAGGAAAUAAUCAAAUAGUGGGAGAAGUUUGCUGGAGAUUUACUUUGUCGGUGCCCGGAUGUUUACGUGGACAAUGGAUGAGGGUUUAUGUUGUCGAUGAUCGGAGUUAGGUGGUUGUCAAAAGAAAAGGCCUCUCUGAGAGAAAGAGAGUGACUUGAGUUAAACUAGAACUUGGGGGUUAAAAGAGUUGAAAUAAAAAAAGAUACUAAAAAAAAACUGUGUCUUUUUGUAAAGAGGCCACGUCGUAUGUGGAGGAGGAACGACUUUUGAGGUAUCAGAGCCAAGCAUUGUCCAUUUGUUAAUCUCGUUAAUCAAAUUUAUACGUAAUUCCUUCCAAUUAGAGAGAAUUUUUCGUUGUACCUCCAGAAUUAUGACUCUUGUAUAUAUCUACCAAUGUUGACCACUUUCAACACCAAAUCCUCAUACAUUUUCUUCUCCUUUUAUUAUUUUUCACUUUCUACACAAAAAUUUCUUCAAUUUCAAUUUUCAUUUUUAUUCACCAUCUUAUGGCAUCUUCCAUCAAAGCCGGACGAACUUGGACAACCACGGAAGAUGUUCUAUUGUAUGAGUCUUGGGUCCAAGUUGGUCAUUGUCCGAUCAAGGGCAAUGAGAUGAAAUUCUAUCAUAUGUGGAAAAAAAUUCAUGCGGUAUUUUGUGAAAGAUCAGGUUCGACUAUUACGAAAAUGGCCUUGGGUAGUAGGUGAAAUUUUUUGAACAAAGUGUUGGGGAAAUGGAGAGAUGCGUUAGAAAAGGCGAGGGACAACCAUCAAAGCGGCGAAAAUCUUAGCAAUGAGGUAAAUUAUUUGUAAUUUCUGUUUCAUUAAAUUUAAUGUCCUAAUUUUUUUUUUUCCAUGUUUCUUGCAUUUUCAAUAUUCUUUUUAAUGUUUCUUGCAUUUGCAAUAUUUUGUAAUGUUACUUACAUUUUUCAAUUUUAUUUUUUUAAUAGAUUAUGUAAGCACAAAUGUGGUUCGAUGAUAUUGGGUAAGACAAAAAAUCUUUCAACCAUCGACAAUGUUGGGAGGUGGUGAAAAAUUGCAAACGAUUCAGAAUUAUUCCCACGGGUCCAACCGUUGUGUUGAACGAGAUGUCACUCCAUGAUUCAACGGCAUCGAAUUCGCCUUUGGAUUCACCAAUGAGUCAAGACUCACCAAUUCAAAAGGAGCCGAGGCCUAUUGGUUGAAAGGCGACAAAGGGGAAGAGAGGGAGUACUUCCAACAAUGAUAUUGCAAAAAAUUUAGAGCAAAUUGCAAGGAACGUUACCAUGAGAAUUGAAUUAGACAUGAAAAAAGAUGCGGACGAGAAUGCAAUGAAUGAAGAAUAUGCAAGAGAAAUGGAGUAUGUACGCAAACAAGACAUUGAGAAGAAGGAUCGGGAAACCAUGGCCAUGGAUACAAGCCAUAUGUCCCAUAAAACAAAACAAUUUUGGAAGCUAGAAUGAAGGGAUGUUAUGAGAAGAAGACUUUUAUGUGACAAUGGACCUAGCAACACCGAUUGGUCAAAUGAUCAAAACCAUUAAGUUAGUUUGCUUGCCUUUUAUUUCAUUGUAUUUUAAUAUUCUGUAUUAAAGUAGUUCUAAUUCUUGUCUUUUAUUUAAUUAGUAGUAAUUCUUAAUUAGUUGUAUUGCUUUUUCUUUGAGUGAAUAAAGAAAUCAUUCAAUAAAAUACUUUUUUAUUCAACACAUUGCAUACAUCAAAUAAAACAUAAUUUUAAAAAAAAAAAAACCAAAGCAUAGAAUAAUUUUAAAAAAAAACCACAACUAAAGCAUAAUUAAAAAUAAAACAUCAACACAAAGCAAGGUUAAAACAAAGGAUCUUCACUUUACUUCAUUCACCGCCAUUGUCUCUCACUGCCCAUAAAUGCUCCAUCAAGUCAACUUGACGUCGUUCAUGAAUAUAAGACGAUUGCAUCUUCGUAUAUCGAUCAAUCGUACGGUUCAUGAAACGACCAUCCCUAACCAACGAUUCUUGCUCCACUGGUUGUCCAUUUGGGCCCAUGGGCCUUUCAUAAAUUUUUGUCAAGGCCGUGUUCAUAUGGAGGAUUAUACAAGUCAUCAUAAUGCUCCUCAGCACCUCCUCAUCAAACAUACGUGCAACACCCUUAAUAAUCACUCACCUUACUUUGAGGAUACCAACACACCUUUUGACAUUUUUCCUGUAACCCUCUUGAUAGGCAGAAAAUAAUUUUUCUCUCUCGGAUUAGGGAUGCGAAAUUGAUUUGACAAAUGUGGUCCAUCUCAGGUAGAUGCCGUCUGCUAGAUAAUACCAAUUCCAGUAUACGGUAUUAUUGAUUUCAUAGGUGGUAUUUGGGGCUUCACCUCUCAAGACAUCGUUGAAUACCGGGGAUUGAUCCAACACGUUCAAGUCGUUUUGAGAUCCGGCAACUCCGAAGAAUGCAUGCCAAACUCAUGUAUCGAAUCCAGCAAUGGCUUCGAGGAUGAUACUUUUUUGCCCCUUUCUAUUUCCAUAAUCUCCUUACCAGGCCGUUGGGCAAUUCUUCCAUUGCCAGUACUUACAGUCGAUGCUUCUAAUCAUGCCUGGAAAACCUCGAGUUUUGGCUUUUUGCAGAAGCCUUUGGAGGUCCAUAGGAUUAGGUUUGCAGAGGUUGUCCCUGGUGUAUAGAGUUUCGAUUGCAUCACAGAAUCUGACCAAGGUCUCUAGAGUAGUGGACUUCCUCAUCCUACCAAUCUUAUCCACAUGAUCAGCAGAUGAACCAUACGCCAUCAUUUGUAUAACAUCUAUAAACUUUUGCUCUGGAAGAAGCCCCAAAACCCUAAUAGCAUCACACUUCUGAACGAAGUAUGCAUCGUAAUUGCAAACAUCAUGCAUGACUUUAUUAAACAAAUGAGGUUGCAUUCUAAAUCACCCUCGAAAAUUAUUAUUAUAGUACACAGAAUUUGGGAUAAAGUAAUCUUCCAAAAGAUUCUUAUCCCGAGACAUAUGUCUAUCCUGGUUCGGGCCACGACCGACUUGUGAACCACGGCGGCGGCCUUGGCUUUCUAGAUCUAGCAAACCCACUACCAUAGCAACUUGUUCAUCUUCUUCUUGCUGCACCUCUUUUUCUUCAGCUCGUCUACACCUUCUUUCUUCAAUUUCUCGCUCUUGCCUCUCCAAGCAUCUCCUCAUGUCUGACAUUGAGAAUGGAGCAUGAAAUCUAAAAUCUGAAAAAUGGAAAGAUAGAGAAGAUCAAGUGUGAGAGGUAUGAGCUGAGCCUCUGGUUUUAUGGAGAGAUUUAGAAGAUAAAGAUGAUACGUGGCGUGAUUUUAGAGGGUGAAAAUUUUAUAUGAAAUUUGAAAUUUCAAUCUUAUCAGAAAAUUUUAUCCGAAAAAUUCAUUUGAAUUAUGAGAUAUGAAUUUUAUAAUAAAUAUUGACACAUAGGAACCGAAAAUCUUCUCCAAAUAAAUUGUUUAGGUUUUUAAAAAAAAAAAAAACGAAAAGUGAAUAGUAUUUGCCCUUUGCUAUGGCAAUGGAUGGAAACACACCUUACUUUUUGCAAGGACUACCACUAUUCACAUGAAUAGUAUCUGCCCUUUCCUCCUUUUGCCCUUUGCCAUGGCAAAUGGGUGGAAGUGCUCUUAUAGGGUGGGUGUUCCAAUUAUUCGACAAUUCUACAAGAAAUUAACAUGCAAAAUCACAUUUAAGAGUGCAAAAUAAAAAUCAGGAAAGCAAAGCAGAGGUCAUGAACUUCUUUUCAUCACCUAUUACCUUGCCCAUUGAACCCAGAUUACCGAACCCCUCCAAAACUCAGAUUUUUCGGCGGCACACAGAUUACCCAGUCCCACCCCCAGCAUCCUCCCUCUAAAAGCCAACCGGCGGAGAAGAGACAAGGCUCAUCCAAGCUCAUGUUUUUAGCCUUAAUGUAGGACUGAAUCUCUUGGAGUGAAAUAGACUUCUCGUGAGGCUCAGAAUAGGAAUCAGAAUUGGAGGGGAGGAUAAGGCGGCAGAGAUGGGAGUGGGCAUUGGCGUCAUACUUCAUGUGAAGGGUGAUGGGGCGGCGGGUCUUGGUGCCCGUUUGGGAAUUGAUUAUAAUGAUCGCUCGAUUGGGAAUUGAUUGAUGGGUUGAAGAUUGCUACACUAAAAAAAAUGUAAAUACCAACUCAUAAACCAAUAUGUUCUUGUUACAUGAAGAAGAAAAAGAGUUGUGCAUGGGGUUGGUUUUUUUUUCCUCAUUAUUUUCUUUUUGUUUGAUUGAUUGAUUAUUUAUUUUAAUCAAAAAUACAAGUUUACCCUUAUAGUUAACGAAAAAUUGGAUGAAAUUCACAAAACUUAACUACAAGAGCUAAAUUGGCAAUUUUAAUUAAUUUGGGUGUUAAAUUGGUUGACUUUUUAGUUCGGGUGGUGUACAACAAUUUAUGAAGUUAUUUCACUACAUGACUAGUGAAAUCACCGACCACAUAACAUAACAGAUGAAUUUGUGACACAUGUAGAAAAUGAUGAGAGAAAGAAACAAAGAAAUAAAUAAGAGAGUGUGCGUAUAGGAUGUACGGGCGGCAGGGUGUACUCAGUUAAUUUUGGGAUUCAUUUAGCAGCACUUUUUUUUUAGGGUUAGUAUUGCAGUAGUAUUGUCACAAGUUUUUAUAAAUUUAAAAAAUCCCAAAUUUACCCUAUAUUUUUAAAAAUAUUAAUUUUUAAAAAACUUUACUAAAAAAAAAAAGAAACCUAAAACUCACUUUUAUAGGCUUAAAUACCCUCAAAAUUAAAAUCCACAUAAAAAAAAUUAAGUCGAACUGAAAAAAAAAAAGAAAAAAGAAGAAACAAAGAAGAGAAAUUGAAUGGAAUCCACCAAAAGAAUUAAGGUCAAUAGAGUCUUCACAUCACUUUAGAAAAUCAAACUUGUUUGUAUUAGUUUUACUUCUCAUUUGGUUGAAGGGUGGAACCAAAUUUACGUGUUUUAUCUUUGUAUGGUAAACUAACUGCAUUGACCACUACCAUAACCAAGUUGCAUUAGGAACCUUCCCUGCAUUGUUCAAACUCUUUUCUGCAACAAUUGAUUUGGUUCACAACUCUUCCCGACACCUUCUGAUGUGAACCUUAUCGAAUAUAAACAUACGACAAAUGUUUUAAUAAGGAUAAAUACUUCCCUCCUUACUCAUAAGGAGAAACUCUUCCUUACCUAUUAUUUGUAGCUCAACCACGAAGUGACAUGUAUCAUCUCUUUUUGAAUUAUCAAAACUUUCUUCCUUCUUAUUCACUUUUACUGAAGCCCAAAUGUUUUACCAAAACAAAACAAAGGGCCACAAAGACUUAAAAUUGUAACUGAGUAAGGAAAUUUUUAUUUUUUUUUUGAAUUCACUAUUAUACUCAAUAUAGUAGCCCAAUUUUUUUUUUUUUAAAUCAUAUAUAAAAUGGACUUUAGAAACACACCAAAAGCUCAUUUACAAUAUGAGAAAAAAGCUUUUAACUUCUUUUAAAUUAUAAAACUGUCAUUAAUUUCUUAAAACAAAUCCAACCCAAAAAUCUCAUAAAAAAAACCCAAAACACUCAAUAGGGCAUCAAAGUAAUUUAAUAAUCAAAAUUAAAUUCAAUAGGGACAGUUGUAAUUUUUUGAGUUUUUUUUGAGUUUGUUUAUAUAAAUUAAAUAGUGUAAAAUUUAUUUAUAGUUUUAAGGAUAAUAAUGAGUAUAAGACUAAAUAUCUCUUCUUCUUUUUAAAUGGUUGAGAAAAAUUGAAGUAAAAAUGAAAAGCUAGGGUUCAGUAAAAGUGAAAAAUAAUAAUAAUAAAAACUGUUUUGACAAUUAAAAGAAAGACGCAUGUCACUUUUGUGUUGAGUCACAAUAGAAGACAAGGAGGGAAGUCAUCAGUCUGUAAACAUGAAGAUGGAGAAAGCCAGCCCACCACCAACAGGCAAGUCCUUUGUCCAUGUAAAAAUAUGCAUCUUCUCCUUCAUCCAGAUCAAUGAUUGUUGCUCUACUUCAAUCCCUAUGCUUCCAGACAAAAACGCGGUGAUAAAAAUGACAAGGAAAAGAUGUAUGACUUUGACCCAAAUCAUAACUAGAAAUUGUGCUUGUUAAAAACUUAUUCAUAUUCACAACAUAAGAAAUCGACCGAAAAUAAAAAUAAAAAUCAAUUGCAUGUACCUGAGAAAUGAAAGAUUGGAUUUGGGAAGAAAGUUCUGACUUGACUAGUAAACUAUAGACAAUCCACAUAAUCCAGACUCCAAACUUAUAAAAGGCUAAAUGUGAAAUUCAAAAGAAAGCCAUGAGAAGAGGGUUUUUAUAUUCUUUUUUAUAUUCUUUUUUUAUUUAACAGGGGUUUGGACGGCUGAUAUUCCAUAGAUUAUUCCUCAAAUUCAUGCAUGUGGUCUAAGAGGUAGUUGGCAGCCAACUCUUCGUUCUUGUUGCAGGCAAAGAAAACCUCCAAUACAAUUGCUCGAUCAAAUCCCAUUG